rnacentral:rRNA from 1 species
GUGGGGAAUUUUGGACAAUGGGCGCAAGCCUGAUCCAGCCAUGCCGCGUGAGUGAAGAAGGCCUUCGGGUUGUAAAGCUCUUUCGGCAGGAACGAAAUGGUUCGUGCUAAUACCACGGACUGAUGACGGUACCUGAAGAAGAAGCACCGGCUAACUACGUGCCAGCAGCCGCGGUAAUACGUAGGGUGCAGGCGUUAAUCGGAAUUACUGGGCGUAAAGCGUGCGCAGGCGGUUUCUUAAGUCAGAUGUGAAAGCCCCGGGCUUAACCUGGGAACUGCGUUUGAAACUGGGAGACUUGAGUGUGGCAGAGGGGGGUGGAAUUCCACGUGUAGCAGUGAAAUGCGUAGAUAUGUGGAGGAACACCGAUGGCGAAGGCAGCCCCCUGGGUUAACACUGACGCUCAUGCACGAAAGCGUGGGGAGCAAACAGGAUUAGAUACCCUAGUAGUCC